GCGGAAUGAUGAAAAUGAAGCUCUAAAGAGCUGACUCGAAGGAUAUGGAAAAUGAACACAAUGAAACCCUAGAAAAGAGGGGAAAUUGGAUUUGGACCGAUUAAACGGUGGGAAUCGAAGUUUAAUCGGUGAAAAAGGUUUGGAUCGGUUCAACAGAGGUUUUAAUCGGCUAAAAUUGAAGGAAAUGGAAAAAUAAGAAAGAAACCCUAGGUUUGGAUUAUGAUGAUCGGUGGAAAAGGAGGAGAGGUGACCAGAGAUGGUGAAACUGUGAAGGAAAUUGAACUUACGUUGACGAAAUAGGAGAUCUGUGAUGAAUUGGUGGAGAGGAGCUCUUUGAGAGAGAAAAUGCUCUC
rnacentral:lncRNA from 1 species